rnacentral:rRNA from 1 species
CGUGUAGGCGGCUGAUCAAGUUGGAUGUGAAAGCUCCCGGCUUAACUGGGAGAGGACGUUCAAAACUGAACAGCUUGAGUAUGAGAGAGGAAAAUGGAAUUCCGGGUGUAGUGGUGAAAUGCGUAGAUAUCCGGAGGAACACCAGUGGCGAAGGCGAUUUUCUGGCUCAAGACUGACGCUCAGACGCGAAAGCUAGGGUAGCAAACG